GAUGAACGCUGGCGGCGUGCUUAACACAUGCAAGUCGAACGAACAUAUCUUUCGGGAUGUGUUAGUGGCAGACGGGUGCGUAACACGUAGGUGACCUGCCCUAAAGUGGGGAAUAACUAUCCUAAAGGAUAGCUAAUACCGCAUAUGUUCGGUGAUUCAUUUCGCCGAGUAAAGUCGCAAGACGCUUUGGGAUGGGCCUGCGGCGGAUUAGGUAGUUGGUGGGGUAAUGGCUUACCAAGCCGAUGAUCGGUAGGGGGCGUGAGAGCGUGACCCCCCACACUGGCACUGACAUACGGGCCAGACUCCUACGGGAGGCUG
rnacentral:rRNA from 1 species